rnacentral:sRNA from 1 species
CCUUCUUCCCCCAGCUUUUGGUUGGCUUUGCUCACCCACCAACAGCUAGGAGCUGGAAGGCUCAGAAGAGCUGGGGCGGGCGUGGAGAGACAGAGGAACCCCGGUGGCUGGAACACAGUUCCUUCCCAGGGUCUCUUCAGCUUGCUGGUUGGACCUCUCAGCCGGCUUAUGAAGCCUGAAUUGACAUCAUGCCAACUGGUCUCCUGCUGAUAAGUGAUUCCUUAACUUCCUCUGGAGCAGCAGAAACUUGUUUUGAAAAAAAUCAGAUUCUAAAAUCUUUACAGCUGUUUACUUCUGCAAGCACAAUGGCCGUAGUAAGGAAUUCAAGUCACAGCGCAGCCGUGGCAGGGAAGGCUCUGCAUGGAGUCACAGGACAAAGCCUGUCCUGGAAACGUGCCGGAAGGAAGUCGGCCUCAUUCUUUACGACGGGCAGCAGCUCCAAAUGAGAAACCAGGGGGCUUGGCUCUGGACACAGAAUGUUCAGCUUAACAAAGAAAUGACACUUGCCAGCAACCGGAGCCUAGCAGAAGGAAACCUUCGGUACCAGCCCCAGCUGGACACGUUGAAGGCACGCUUGACCCAGAAAUACCAGGAACUCCAGGUUCUCUUUGAAGCCUAUCAGAUAAAGAAGACCAAAUUAGGUAACUUUUUAAGGGUGAUCAUUCGAGAAUAAAGAGAGAAGGACACAUUUUCAAGCUAUUGCCCUACCAGGAAAGAAAUAUUAUGGAAAAAUUUCAGGUUAAGAUAGCAACUCUACUGCAGUGAAGAAAUAGCUUAUAUAUAUUAUUUAUUUAUUUUUAGAGACGAGGUCUUGCUCUGUCUCUCAGACUGGAGUGCAGUGGCGCAACCAUGGCUCAGCGCAACCUCCUGGGCUCAGGUGAUCCUCCUGCCUCAGCCUCCUGAGUAGCUGGGACCACAGGUGUGCACUACCCCAAGCAGGCUAGUUUUUCAUUUUUUUGUAGAGAGGUUGUCUUGCUAUGUUGCCCAGGCUGGUCUUGAACUCAAGCCAUCCUCCUGCCUUUGCCUCACAAAGUGCUGCUAUUACAGACGUGAGCCACUGUAUUGGACUAGUUUAUGUAUGGAAUAUGGAGGGCCCCCAGACCUGCAGCCUCUCUGCACUUGCGGUUCAAGAGGGCAGGGUGUAUAGCAGGACUGCCCCCUCCUCCCAGUGGCCCUGACUGGUGGCAGUGACUGCUGAGGUCAGCCCAGGUCCACACGCACCUCCAGGGUCUGCAGCGUGAAGCAGGUGGCAGAAACGUGGGUACCUUGGGGCAGUUACCGGAAAAGGGGCUGGAGAUGAGGAGGAAGCCAGCCAGUUUAGCAGUCACCAGUUUAGAAGAGGAGACUUAACCACUUUUUAAAUUCAAGACCCUACCUUCUCUAAACAGCAUAGAAAAAGCUUUCUGAAUUAUGAUAUUAAACAGAUGUCUUAUGCCGUUUGCCCGUUUGUUUUAU